rnacentral:rRNA from 1 species
GACGAACGCUGGCGGCGUGCCUAACACAUGCAAGUCGAGCGAAUGAAGUUCCUUCGGGAAUGGAUUUAGCGGCGGACGGGUGAGUAACACGUGGGCAACCUGCCUCAUAGAGGGGAAUAGCCUUCCGAAAGGGUGAUUAAUACCGCAUAAGAUUGUAGUAUCGCAUGAUACAGCAAUUAAAGGAACAAUCCGCUAUGAGAUGGGCCCGCGGCGCAUUAGCUAGUUGGUGAGGUAACGGCUCACCAAGGCGACGAUGCGUAGCCGACCUGAGAGGGUGAUCGGCCACAUUGGGACUGAGACACGGCCCAGACUCCUACGGGAGGCAGCAGUGGGGAAUAUUGCACAAUGGGGGAAACCCUGAUGCAGCAACGCCGCGUGAGUGAUGACGGCCUUCGGGUUGUAAAGCUCUGUCUUCAGGGACGAUAAUGACGGUACCUGAGGAGGAAGCCACGGCUAACUACGUG